AAGUCUCUCGGGUACGCAGGGCGUACAGGGGUACGCAGCGCGUACCUCGGAUGAGGACGCUGACUCCUCUUCGGAUAAGGUCCGAAUUUUGAAUUAAAUAAAUAUAUAAUUUAUUUAAUAAACUUCAAAAAUUCAUAUCUUCUUCAUACGAACUCCGUUUUCGAUGGUCUUUAUAUCCACGCGUAGGUGAGACUACGCUCUACAACUUUCGUUUAGACUCCGUCGGCAAAUUCCGAAAUUAUUUUUUUAUUAUUUAUUUUAAACUCAUCGUGUUUAAGGAAUUUCUUUGAAAAUUCAUAACUUCUUUAUCUGAUGUCGGUUUUUGCCAGACUUUUUACCGCUGGAAUACCAUUGUCGAGACCUUCGAUUCUCGUUUAGGUCAUUCCGGCCAAAAGUCGCUCGAUCUCCGAUUCGAGUUUUUAGCUGUCUGUUGCUAAGCCGAACUUGGAAAAAUCAUAACUUCGCUAUAUGAAGUCGGAUUUGGGCGUUCUUUUCACGUACGAUCAUGGUUCAAAGACAUUUAAACAUAGAAGGAAAUUAAAUAGAACUAUUUGUACAUUUUAUUAUGAAAGUAAAUUUUAUUACUCAAAAGUGGUUACAAUACUUGACCCUUUUUGGUCAUUACAAAGAGUUGAAAUAUCGGGUUGUCACAUCAUCCCCCCGUUAGAGAGAAUUUCGUCCCGAAAUUUAAAGUAGUAAAGAUACUAGUGAACAUGAAAGAGAUGAGGGUACUUUUGUUUCAUCUGAUCUUCGCGUUCCCAUGUGAAUUCAGGUCCCCGCUUGGCGUUCCAGCGAACCUUCACGAUGGGUAUGCGACUUUGUUUUGUUUGUUUGACCUCUCGGUCCAUGAUUUCUACUGGUUCUUCCACAAAGUUGAGGCUCUCGUUGAUCUCGAUCUCGUCGAGUGGAAUAACAAGAGUCUCGUCGGACAGACACUUUUUCAAGUUUGAGACGUGGAAGGUUGGAUGGAUGUUACUAAGUUCGCGCGGUAGGUUAAGCUUGUAAGCCACAGGGCCGAUUCUGGCAAGAAUCUCGAAAGGCCCUAUGUAUCUUGGAUUUAGUUUCCCACGCUUUCCAAAUCGUAUUAAACCCUUCCACGGUGAGACCUUUAAUAAGACGUGGUCUCCUACCUGGAAUUCCAAAGGUUUCCUCCUUUGGUCAGCGUAGCUUUUCUGUCGGUCUCUUGAGGCUUUCAAUCGUUCACGAAUCUGAACGAUCUUCUCUGUUGUUUCACGUAUGAUUUCCGGACCGGUGAGAGUGCUUUCAGGAACUCUUCCUCUAGCUAACUGGGUAUCGCCAACUUCAGUCCAGCACAGAGGGGAUCUGCACUUUCGACCAUAGAGGGCUUCAAACGGAGCAGCCUUUAUGCUUGUAUGAUAACUAUUGUUGUAUGAAAAUUCGACAAGGGGUAAAUGAAUAUCCCAUGCCUUUCCAAAGUCAAUCACGCAGGCUCUCAGCAUGUCUUCUAAAGUUUGUAUUGUUCUCUCACUUUGUCCGUCUGUCUGUGGGUGGUAGGCUGUACUCAUGUCUAGCCUAGUUCCCAGGGAACUUUGUAGUGACUGCCAGAAUCUUGAAGUGAAUCUACUAUCUCGAUCGGAGAUAAUGGAUAUCGGAACACCAUGCAGUCGCACUACUUCCCUUAAGUAAGUUCUUGUAAGCUUCUCCAUUUUGUCAGUCUCCUUGAUGGGUAGGAAAUGUGCGGAUUUGGUCAAUCUGUCGACAAUGACCCAUAUGGUAUCGAGUCCACUUGUCGUCUUGGGUAACUUGGUUAUGAAGUCCAUAGUAAUCCGCUCCCAUUUCCAUUCCGGUAUCUCUGGUUGUUGUAGUAGUCCUGACGGUUUCUGAUACUCGACCUUAACCUUAGCGCAAGUAAGACAUUUACUCACGAAGGUAGCAAUUUCUGCUUUCAUGUUAGGCCACCAGUACAGUUUCUUAAGAUCCAGAUACAUUUUAUCUGAACCCGGGUGAACGGAAUAUCUUGAGUUGUGAGCCUCGGUCAUGACUACGUUUCUGAAACCACCAUGUUUUGGGGUCCAGAUUCGGUCCAUGAGAUAGUAGGCUCCGCCACCCUUGACUUCUAAAUUCUUCUCCAUUCCUCGCAGGGAUUCACCCGCCACAUUUUCAGGUUGCAAAGCUUCCAUUUGUGCUUCCUUAAUUUGUGUGGAUAAGUGGGAAUGGAUAGUCAUGGUCAGAGAUUUGACCCUCCGACCAGUGUAUUCCUUUCGACUGAGGGCGUCGGCUACUACGUUGGCCUUGCCAGGAUGAUAACGAAUUUCGCAUUCGUAGUCAUUCAGUAACUCAACCCAUCGUCGUUGUCGCAUGUUGAGUUCCUUCUGAUCGAAAAUGUGUUGAAGGCUCUUGUGAUCGGUGAAUAUAGUACUCUUUGUUCCGUAUAAGUAGUGCCUCCAGAUCUUCAGAGCAAAUACCACUGCUCCUAACUCGAGGUCGUGUGUCGUAUAGUUCACUUCGUGUGUCUUAAGCUGUCGGGAGGCAUAAGCGAUAACCUUCCCUCUCUGCAUAAGAACACAACCAAGUCCUUGAUUUGAAGCAUCGCAAUACACUACGAAGUCUUCUAUCCCUUCGGGGAGGGAUAGUAUCGGUGCGGUGCACAAGGCCUGCUUUAGUGUCUGGAAUGCCUUCUCUUGUUUCGCUUCCCAGUCAAAGGCCACACCUUUCUGGGUUAAUGAAGUAAGAGGUUUCGCAAUGCUCGAAAAGUUCUUUAUGAAUCUGCGAUAGUAGCCAGCUAGACCUAGAAAUUGACGAAUUUCUGUAGGUGUCUUUGGUGCCGACCAGUUCUCAAUAGCCUUAAUUUUGGAGGGGUCCACGUGUAUACCUUUCUCGCUAACAACGUGACCUAAAAAUUCGACUCUUCGAAUCCAAAAUUCGCAUUUAGAGAACUUCGCAUAGAGUUUCUCCGUUCGCAGUGUUUCUAGGACUUUUCGUAGGUGUUGACUAUGCUCUUCCUCACUUCGAGAGUAGAUAAGUAUAUCAUCGAUAAAGACGAUGACGAACUGAUCCAAGUAAGGGCGGCAUACCCUAUUCAUUAGGUCCAUAAAUACUGCUGGUGCAUUGGUUAAUCCGAACGGCAUCACCACGAAUUCGUAGUGUCCAUAACGAGUUCGGAAGGCUGUCUUUGGAAUGUCCCCCUCUAGAACUCGUAAUUGGUGAUAUCCGGAUCGCAGGUCUAUUUUGGAGAAGUAGUUCGCCCCUUGAAGUUGAUCGAAUAGGUCGUCGAUACGGGGUAGAGGAUAGCGGUUCUUGACAGUAAGUUUGUUCAGCUCUCUGUAGUCGAUGCACAUACGGAACGAUCCGUCUUUCUUCUUUACAAACAAGACCGGUGCUCCCCAAGGUGAGAAACUUGGUCUUAUGAAUCCUUUGUGAAGGAGUUCAUUAAGUUGACUGGAAAGUUCCUGCAUCUCUGCUGGUGCAAGACGAUAAGGCGACUUCGCUACUGGGGUAGCUCCUGGAAUUAAGUCGAUUCUGAACUCGACUUGGCGUUGCGGUGGUAAUCCUGGUAGUUCUUCUGGAAAGAUAUCGGGAAAGUCGCGUACUACCGAGAUGCUCUUGAUGUCCUUCAGUUCUUGACUUGUAUCGACGAUGUGCGCUAGGAAUGCUCGACAAUCCUUCCGCAAGCACUUUCGAGCUUGGAUGCACGAAAUGAUGCGAAGGUUUGCACUAGAUUUGUCGCCGUAGAUAACUAAUGUUUCGUUGUUAGGGAGGUUAAGACGGACUGCUUUCUCAAAGCACAUGAUGUCGGCGCGAAGAAGGCUCAACCAAUCCAUGCCGACUAUGACGUCGAAACUUUUAAUUUGAACCGGCAUGAGAUUGAUUGGGAAAGAAUGGCCGUCUAAUGUUAACGUACAGCCCAUGUAUAUGCAAUUUGUGUUUUCGGUUUUUCCAUUGGCCAUCUCUACAGUGAAUGAUUUUUCUAACUUGCUAGGUUUAGGUUUAAGUAAAUGAAUAAAGUUUUGACUCACGAAGCUUCUCUCCGCUCCACUAUCGAAUAAUAUGCAUGCGUAUGAAUUAUCGAGAAGGAACGUACCAGCAACUAUAGUUGGGUCAGCUACAGCUUCGUCGUGGCCUAUUGCCAAAACUCGUCCCACACCUCCGGUGCCUGCUGCCUUAGGACAGUUUCUCUUGUAGUGGCCCACCUCGCCACAACCGUAGCAAGCCUGCCCUACACCCGCACCGGGAACUUGAGUGAUCGGCUUUGCGGGUUCCUUGCAGAAACGGGCUGUGUGUCCUUUCCUGCUGCAGUUGGCGCACUGCAUAUCUCGACAAGGUCCAUGGUGGUGGUAAUUGCAUUUGGUGCAUUUUGGGAGGUUGCCUAUAUAAGGCUUUGUUGGGUAGGUAUUUGUAGGGGCUGUAGCAGGUACAAUGGCAGCAUUUACUGACACCAGUUGUUUCUUUGCGGAUUCUUGGGAAGACCCACCCUUCCCUUUAAUCCACGCUCUCUUCCUGCCAUUGUUGUUGUUGUUGUUGUUGUUGUUGUUGUUGUUGUUGUUGUUGUUGUUGUUGUUGUUGUUUUCUUUCUGUGGUGCUGGUGCAGAAGUGGUUGAGUUCUGAUGACCUCCGUAGUCGAUCAGAGAUUGUGCCAGUUCCUUAGCACUUUCAAAGGUGUCAGGUUUAGAAGCUAACACGCUUGAUCGCAUUUGGGGCGUCAGUCCCCAGAUGUACCUUUCUAUCUUCUUGCUCUCGGGAGCAAUCAUAUCUGGACAAAGGAUUGCCAGUUCGCAGAAUCUGUUGGUAUAAGUAGCGAUGUCGGUACCCACCAUUCCGAGAGUCCAUAGCUCGUGUUCAAGCUUUUGAAUUUCUCCCCGUGGGCAGUAUUCUCUCAUCAUCAUGGCCUUCAAGCUCUCCCAGCUUAUGGAGUUUGCCACGAUUAGGGUAAGUACUUUAACGUGGCCAUUCCACCAAGUUAAAGCUUUAUCGAGAAGGGUGAAAGUUGCAAAUUUGACCUUGCUGUGCUCGGGGCAGGAGCAGAUUUCAAAGACUGCCUCCGUCCUUUCAAUCCACUGCCUCAGGGCCAUCACACCACCAGUACCAUAAAACAUUCGGGGCUUGGCAUUAGUGAAGUCCUUAUAGGUGCAUUCUCGAGGUGGUCCAUGACUCUCGCCAUGGUUGGAUAGGUGUGUGCCAGAUCCCGAGCCAUUAGUACUCGAGUUAUUGAUCUGUGACAUGGCAGCUGCCACCGCUGCGGUGACUGCUGCUUGAAACAUUACAGCAUCAAAUUGGGGUGGUGGAGGUGGUGGUGGUAUAGGUGCUUCCUCACCGUUGUUUCGCCUUGGAUUCCUACGCGGAGGCAUCCUUCAACUAUAGAUUGAAAAGACAAGGAUAAGAAUUUCAUAGAAUGGAAAAUGUAUGUGUCUCAUGAACUAAAUCGCUAUAGUUCAACAACAGAUGAUAGUAUGAGUCUUAAAAUAGAAGAAUGAAAGUUAUUUGUAAGACUGAAGGUAUGAAACAAGUAUUUGGGUUCACAAAGACCAUUCAAGGUUCGAACGAAAUACUUAACAUAGUAGUAAUAGUGCCACUUAUAUUAAUAUAAAAGUUGUUACAACGAUCAUGAAAAUUUGACCCCUAUAAGGGUCUCCGAUUACAAAGUUCGAGAAAUUUAAAGACUUUUAGCCGAGGUCCUAAGCUAUAACAAAAUUUGAGUCCUUGACAAGCACUACUUGCGUCGAAGGUUGCGCUUGGAGCUUGACUCCGUAUCUGAUUGCUUUGACUCCAUUAGACGCCUAUCGAAAGCGGCUUGUUGUUCCCUUAGUUCGGCGAGGGCUGCAAUCAUUUGCGCUUGAAACGCUUCGGUUUGGAAUUGAGCGUUGUCUUGCAUCUUGUCCAGCCUACGGAUGUCAGAAGUGUGAACCUGCACUUCCACGUUGAUAUCCCGGAGUCGACUAGCUUGUACUCCAGACUGAUAGGACUGAUUGGCUAACUUACCCACCAUUACCGGGAGUGCUCGAUCAGCCGAACCUCCGCCGCGGACAUCAUAGAAGUCCCGGCACAUGCCGUAGGGAGGGCGUAGGUUUUGCUGUUGGCUCCAAUGGUGGAGGUGACUUCCCCAGACGGGAGUCGGUCCUUGAAAGUUCCUUACGAAGACGGGAGGUUGAAUGGGUGGUGGAUCGAUAACUUCCGGCUCUGAGUCGGUACCGGAGUCAUCACCCACUUCUAUGGGUUCCUCGUCCUCUUCGGGAUCAUCUUCGAUCCAUCCUCCGUUGCCUUGGUUGGGAAAGUAGGGGUCGCCAGGGUGGUGAAAUCCAGCCAUUUGACUGUACGAGAAAUAGGGUUAUAAGAAUUGAAUAAAGUCGGAACAUGUAAAACAUGUAAGUUAAACUAGUUUAGAUAGCAAAUACUCCUAUAGUAUUUAAAUUCUUGUGUUUGAUUCUUGUAAUGGUUUGGUAAGUUUUGACUUGUUGCUUACUACGAUCAUUCCUCGAUAUACGUUGGUCCAAUCUUGGGCAAAUAUAGUUGAUCACGCUAUAUUUGUCCAAAAUCUGAUUACAUAUAUCGAGUCUCAAUCGUAGUGUCAACUUGUCUAAAUACUUGUAUAGUUGUAUAACAUGAAAAUAGUUUGUGGUAUGCAUGUAAUUGUACUUAAAUGAACUAUCAAUUUAAGUUGAACGAAAUGCUGCUUAAGUGUAAAAAGAAAAUUUGUUUUGUCAGAGAGUAUUAGUCCCUUAAGCAUUUAUAGUUUGUAUAUCUUAUGUGGUUCGAUAUACUUAGUUCACUAUAAACAUUGCUCUGAUACCAAUCUGUCACACCCCCAAACCUGAACGGCGGAAACGUUCGGGGGCGGAUGACUUCAUGUGGUAACGUAACAAAUGAAUACAUAGUAAAGAAAGCAAUACAACCAUCAUAUAUAUAAUUGAAAGUUUACAUUUGUCAAAAGUUACAUGUUCAAAACCAAUUACAAUAUGAUGUCAAAAUAUGAGAUUAAACUGGCGCCGCAGCAUCCCUUCAUCAAAAGCAAAAUGAAUACCUGAAAUUACUGAUUUCCUGGGACAUACAAGUAAUUUUGAAAGAGUAGAUCAGCAUUUAAGCUGGUGAAUUUCAUAAGUAUUUAAGUGACAAUGUUUGAAUGAAAUGAAAUGUUUUAUCUUUGUUUGUUUGUGUUUAGAAAAUCCUAUAUUUUCUACUAGUAUAAAAGUAGCCUUCACUCAAGACCAAUGUUUGUUUCCAAAAUGUAUGUAAAUGUAAAAUAACCAAUGAGUUUGAAAACCUUGUAAAUCAAUGCAUUUUUAAUACCCCUUGUGAGUUUUAUAACCAUACUAUUGACUCUGAAUGCCUAUACACAACGUUCUUCAGGCGUUGGAAUGUUAUGACGUUUGUCACCCCAAACGGUGGACUGCAGCUAACAGUCAGGGCGCGGGUUGUCAAGCCCGUAUAGAUCUAUACACAAACACCAUGCUCCCCCUCCAAGGGAUUCUGGUAUAUAAUACAGGACUUGAAAUGUGUACUCGAACGUACAUGAAGUUAGUGUCUCACAAAACCGUGGUAUAAAAACAGAUCUACUUGUUAAAAUGUUACGUUUGUUCUUGUAUACGAAAGUAAACUUCUUGAAAUAUAUGUUUCUAGUACAUAAGAGUUAGAAAUCUGUUCGUAAAACUAUACCUAUUAUAGUUUCCAAAAAGUGUGUCUUGUUUGUUUAGAAAUAUUGAGAAAAGGAAUCACUUGUUUAUGAAAGUAUAGAUUUUUGGUGUAGAGUCUAGGAUAGACAAGAAAAAUCUAAGAACAGUUUAGUUUAUACAUGCAUUACAACAACAUUAUAUUUUAAAAGGUAAAAUGCUAUUGUGACAUAUGUUAUAUAUAUAUAAAAGUUCCUUUAAAUGUUUAUAAAUCGCAUGUGAUUUGAAUAUAUAACAGUAUAUAAAAGAGUUUCUUUAUGUAACACACGAUAAUACUCGUGUGUUUUACUUGUAAUCCCCCCCUUGAAAGCAUAUAAAAGUAUUUAGAAUAAUUAAAAAGGUUGAUUAAGGGGUAUGAAACUCACUUGAAAGUUUUGGAGAUAGCGAGAUGGAAAACCGGGCAGAGUUUCGUCUCGGGAAACGGAUUUUCCUCGGGAUUCUCGGGAAUCUCGGGAGUAAAAUCGACCUUCGGGACUUGAGCCAAAAAGACCAGAGCUUCGGGUUUGAACGGACACGGAAAACGAGGCAAAGUUGAGAGAGAGAGAAGAGAAAUGAACCCUUUCUUUGGAAACCCUCGCAUCCUAUUUAUAGUAAGGCUGGUCUGCCUCGGUACGCGGGGCGUACGCUCGUACGCAGCGCGUACGCGUACGUCAUGCAUGACCGAAGCCUCGACUGCCUCGGCUUCGGAUGGGACGGGUCGGUGGGGAGGCGGGUCGGAUGGGACGGUGGGUCAGAUGGGACAGCGGGUCGGACGGGUCGGUCGGACGGGCGGGUCGGACGGGUCGGAAGCCUCGGAUAGGGCGACGUGGACGAUCAGAGGCCAAGUCUCUCGGGUACGCAGGGCGUACAGGGGUACGUAGCGCGUACCUCGGAUGAGGACGCUGACUCCUCUUCGGAUAAGGUCCAAUUUUUGAAUUAAAUAAAUAUAUAAUUUAUUUAAUAAACUUCAAAAAUUCAUAUCUUCUUCAUACGAACUCCGUUUUCGAUGGUCUUUAUAUCCACGCGUAGGUGAGACUACGCUCUACAACUUUCGUUUAGACUCCGUCGGCAAAUUCCGAAAUUAUUUUUUUAUUAUUUAUUUUAAACUCAUCGUGUUUAAGGAAUUUCUUUGAAAAUUCAUAACUUCUUUAUCUGAUGUCGGUUUUUGCCAGACUUUUUACCGCUGGAAUACCAUUGUCGAGACCUUCGAUUGUCGUUUAGGUCAUUCCGGCCAAAAGUCGCUCGAUCUCCGAUUCGAGUUUUUAGAUGUCUGUUGCUAAGCCGAACUUGGAAAAAUCAUAACUUCGCUAUAUGAAGUCGGAUUUGGGCGUUCUUUUCACGUACGAUCAUGGUUCAAAGACAUUUAAACAUAGAAGGAAAUUAAAUAGAACUAUUUGU
rnacentral:lncRNA from 1 species